rnacentral:rRNA from 1 species
CAGUAGCCACGGUAAUACGUAGGGUGCGAGCGUUGUCCGGAAUUACUGGGCGUAAAGGGCUCGUAGGUGGUUUGUCGCGUCGUCUGUGAAAUUCUGGGGCUUAACUCCGGGCGUGCAGGCGAUACGGGCAUAACUUGAGUGCUGUAGGGGUAACUGGAAUUCCUGGUGUAGCGGUGAAAUGCGCAGAUAUCAGGAGGAACACCGAUGGCGAAGGCAGGUUACUGGGCGGUUACUGACGCUGAGGAGCGAAAGCAUGGGUAGCGAACAGGAUUAGAUACCCCUGUAGUCCCUGUCUCUUAUU